ensembl:snRNA U6 U6 spliceosomal RNA
GACUGCAAUAUCGGGUCUGGUACUCAAAUUGGAACAACACAGUGAAGAUUAGCAUGGCCCCUGCACAAGGGUGACGUGGCCAUUCAUGAAGUGAAGUCCUGGGCU